UCCUGCGGACUUCCGGCAAACUCCUGGACUUUGCGACGAUCCACUUGGCAAGUUCCGACGAGCUUCGCUUGGCAAGCUUCUGGACUUCUCGGAUCUGUUCUCGCAGAACCUCCGACGACCGUCCGAACUUCCGUCGAACUCUCGAACUCCCAAUGUGAUCAUGAACUUGACUCUGGCGCAACUCCUGCUGCUUGUCUAACUUUCAUCGUAGUUAAUCCUGCACACUUAUCUCAACACAUAGAUUAGACAACAAAUGACAAUUG
rnacentral:lncRNA from 1 species